AUCCUUUUGUAGUUCACAAGUAUGAUGACUAGGUAUUCACGCCACUGUAUGGCAUGUACCUCCCUAAAAUCUGUCAUGACCCUGGCAUGGUACCCAUCUGUGG
ensembl:snoRNA